AGAAGUGGAGCUGUGGCUCAAAGUGGUAGAUCACUAGCCUUGAGUGAAAAAGCUCAGGGACAGCACUGAGUUCAAGCCCCACAAAUGACAAAAAAAAGUGAUAGGGUUAUUAACACCAUUAAAUUGUAAGACUUUAUCAUCAAAUCUGUGUAAAUGUAUCCUUUCCCCUACAUGGCAAGUAUGGAUAAGCCAAUGACUAAAACUGAGUUAAAUCACAGUAAAAUUGACCCAUGCUAGGUGAUCUAAUUCUAGCUACUCAGGAGCUCAGAUCUAAGAACUGAGGUUGAAGCAAACCCUGGAAAACAAAUUCUUGAGACUCUUAUCUCCAAUUAGCCAGCAAAAAGCAAGAAGUAGAGAUGUGACUCAAGUGGCAGAGCACCCACUGUGAAUGAAAAAGCCCAGUGAGAGCAAAAAGCAUUAAAUUCAAGCUCCAAUACUGGUAUUUAUACAAAAAAAUAAUUUUUGAACCAGGUUACACUGAACUUUUCAAAUGGUACCAAACAAGCCUCUACUUUAGGGAGACUGGAAUAGUUUCAAUGCAACAUACCCAGAAAACUAGGAGAAUCAGAAGUGCUGCAUCCUACCAUCCAACACAAAGGAAGAGGCACAAGCCCCUCUCUAGCAGCCGAGGUGGAGCUCUCUCCUAAGCCAUUGAGGAAGUAGGAGUGGCACCAGGUGAACUGAAGGCCAAUCACACAUUUCAUAGGCUAGAUAAUAAUGUCACAUUAAAAGUUCGGUAUUUUUCUCCUCCUCUGGGCACACCAUUCCUUGUAUGUUCAUAAACUUGGCAAAAGCACCAAUAUUCAGGGUACCCCUCCCCCAAGGCCCCUACAGUGAGUGCCCCCAUCAGAGUCUAUCACAGGGAGAAGACGCCCCAUCACCUUUCAAACCCGU